rnacentral:rRNA from 1 species
GGAAGAGAUAACCGCUGAAAGCAUCUAAGCGGGAAACUUGCCUCGAGAUGAGUCUUCCCUGUCGCUUUAAGCGACCUAAAGGAACGUUUAAGACUAAGACGUUGAUAGGCUGGGUGUGUAAGCGUAGCGAUACGUUGAGCUAACCAGUACUAAUGAACCGUGAGGCUUAACCUGACAACACCGAAAGUGUUUUG